rnacentral:rRNA from 1 species
ACUCCUACGGGAGGCAAGCAGUGGGAAUAUUGCACAAUGGGCGCAAGCCUGAUGCAGCCAUGCCGCGUGUAUGAAGAAGGCCUUCGGGUUGUAAAGUACUUUCAGCAGUGAGGAAGGUGGGUAUGUUAAUAGCAUACUCAUUUGACGUUAGCUGCAGAAGAAGCACCGGCUAACUCCGUGCCAGCAGCCGCGGUAAUACGGAGGGUGCGAGCGUUAAUCGGAAUUACUGGGCGUAAAGCGCAUGCAGGUGGUUUGUUAAGUCAGAUGUGAAAGCCCGGGGCUCAAGCC